AUCAGAAAUGCCUGAUCAACAAUAACGGUGAGCAUUUAUUGAGCACGUACUGCACGCCAGGCCAUGUUAUAACCUUACUUCAGCCUCCCGAGUAGCUGGGAUUACAGGCAUGCGCCACCACGCCUGGCUAACUUUGUAUUUUUAGUAGAGACGGGGUUUCUCCAUGUUGGUCAGGCUGGUCUCGAACUCCCAACCUCCGGUGACCCGCUCGCUUCGGCCUCCCAAAGUGCUGGGAUUACAGGCCUGAGAGCCACCGCACCCGGCCGGACCUGGUUCAUUUUAAAAUUGUUGUCUUAAUCUUAGUUGCUUAACUGCUUGCAAUUCUGUGUGUUGGCUGGUGGUUCCUCUGUGGGCUUCCCCUGGGCUUGUGCAUGCGGCUGCUUCUGGCUUUCAGCUGUGCUGGCUGGGCUAAGGUGGCCUCAUUCAUGGUGACAUGGGAUUCAGAUGGGAUCCAGAUGGGAUUCAGAUAGCAGCUGAUUGUUGGCUGGGGCACCUCUGUACUGCAUCUGGGCUCUCAUCAUCCAGAAGGUUAGACUGGCUUCUGUACGUGGUGUUUUCAGCACAGCAUCCAGGAGCCCUAGGCCCAGAUGUCCCAUAAAGUCUCUUUCUCCCAUUUAUUCUAUCUCAAAGCAAGUCAAACACCAGCCCAGGGCUUCCAGGAAACUGCUCCUCGCUCCUUGUUGGCCCACAGACUUCAUUUGUACUCACUAGCAGAGGGAUAAGAUUACUCUUUGACUCAUCCGGCCCUCCAAGGCAGGGCAGGGAAUGGGGUCACUUACCUAAGGCACCUGGGUUGCCUGCAUGCCCGUUAGGAGGAGACAGAUCAAGCACGUAGUCACGCUGCGCUGUGUUGCUUCCCUCCGCUUCUUUUGCUCCUGGGAAUCCAUUCCCAGGGAAAUUCUCACCACAUAGCACAUGAACACAGGUGCCAGGAUGCAGCUGCACCUUCCUUUGUGGAGCAAAAACUUGGAAAUAUCCUUAAAAGUGAUUAAGUAAAUCAGAGUAUGAACUGUGCUCUGGAGUGCAAGACCGCGGACUAUGGCUUUCUGGAUUCUCUGGUGACACCUGCUGGCACAAAGGGAUACUGCAGCCCAGCUUGGAAGAGGAAAUGUGGACACAGACACAAACAGAGGGAGGGCCAUGUGAGCCCAGAGCAAGAAGGCGGCCAUCUACAAGCCCCGGAGCGAGGCUGCGGGAGAAGCCAGCCCCGCUCACACCUUGACAACAAUCUCUGUUGAUUAAACCACACAGUCUGCAGUCCUCUAUUACGGUGAGCCCUGCCAGCUGAGAUGGGGUUGACGUGGGAAUACAGCUGGGCACACAGGAGGCCCUCAGUGGAGGCUGGUUUCUUUGGCCCAGUGCCACAUGGAGCCCGUCCACUGGCUGAGCUGGGGGCCUGAUUGUGGCCACUCAACGUCUCUGUAAAGCUCAGGGUCUGCCUUGAGAUCCUGCACUUACCACGGAGUGGCCCUGCCUUGGGGACCCAUCUCACCUCACUUCUGCCCUCCUUUCUGGUUCAUGACUCAGCCAUCCACUAACCUCCCGUGGUAGCACUGUGGCCACUCUGUAAACGACAGCACCACUGGUGUCUCAUUGGGGGCCAGUCUGGAAGAGGGAGACCACCCUAGGCAUUUCAGACAGAAGGGAUGGAAUACAGGCAUUGCUUACACAGAGGACGGACGAGCCGAGAUGCAGAAAGGCCAGGUGAAGCAUUGGCCACAGCUGGAGGCGCUCCACCCUAGGCCAGCGGGACAGAAGGAAGCUGGGUCCGAGAAGCCAGGGCUUGGAGCCACAGUGGGGGCUGCCUGGUAGGAGUUGACCAGGGAGGGAGGGUCUGUCGGGCGGGGGCGGGGGCUCUUUGCCUUCCGAUCCAAGCUCCGCCCUCUGCAGCUCUGCUCUGUGUAUCCCAGAGCUGACCCUGCGGCGCCUUUCCCAGGCUCGCGUCCGGUGAGUUCCUAUUGGCCAACGGGAGGCCCCGGUCGGGGAGCGCCCCGGGACAGGCCCCUGUGCCUCCCGCUUUGCGGAGUGACGCAGGCCCUGGGCUACAGCAACCUUACCAGCCCCUCCAGCUUAGAGGUGGCAGUGGCUCUCUGCGGCUGCGAUUUCUUUCUCGGAGCGUCCUCCCCAUCCCGUUCGGCCUCUGCCUCCACCGUCGUCUCUGUAACCCGUUCCCUGUGGGAGAGUCUCUGUUGCGGUGUUCAGGGGUUUCGGUUUUCUGGCUGAACAGUGAUUAACGCGAGGGAAGGCGCUGACGGCAAGGUGGCAGGAAGAACAUUCCAACACAGACCACAACACCUAUGGACCUGGAAAACAUUGUGCUCAGUGAAAGAAGCCAGACACAGAAGGACAAUGUUGUAUGAGGUCUUAUUCUGUUGCCCAGGCUGGACUGCAGUGGUGCAAUCCUAGCUCACUGCAGCUUCGACCUCCCGUGCUCAAGUGAUUUUCCCACCUCAGCCUCCCGAGUAGCUGGGACUACAGGUGCGUGCCACCACGCCUGGCUGAUUUUUCUUGUAUUUUUUUGUAGAGAUGGGGGUAUCGCUAUGUUGCCCAGGCUGGUCUUGAACACUUGGGCUCAAGUAAUUCUCCCGCCUUGGCCUCCCAAAGUGCUGGGAUUACAGGUGUGAGCCACUGUGCCUAGUGUGAAUGCAUUUAAUGCCACUGAAUUGUACACUUAAUAAUGGUGAAAAAUAUAAAUAUUCUGUUAAAUAUUUUACCACAAUAAAAAAAUGUGUGACAGUUGUCAGAAUCAAAAUGGUGUCACUAAUGUUUUUUUUUUUUUUUUUUUUUUUUUUUUUGAGAUGGAGUCUCGCUCUGUUGCCCAGGAGGGAGUGCAGUGGUGCGAUCUCGGCUCACUGCAAGCUCCGCCUCCCAGCUUCACACCAUUCUCCUGCCUCAGCCUCUUGGAGUAGCUGGGACUGCAGGCACCCGCCACCACGCCCAGCUAAUUUUUUGCAUUUUUAGUAGAGACGGGGUUUCAUCGUGGUCUCGAUCUCCUGACCUCGUAAUCCGCCCUCCUCAGCCUCCCAAAGUGCUGGGAUUACAAACGUGAGCCACCGCGCCUGGCCUGGUGUCACUAAUGUUAAGAAAACCUUCACAAAUAGAGGCAGACCAUGAAGAGAGGGGUCUCAUUCUUAUAUGCCUGAUAAAGAAAGACUUUAAGAACUACAACCCUUGGCGGGGUGCAGUGGCUCAUGUUUGUAAUCCCAGCACUUUGGGAAGCUGAGGCAGGUGGAAUACCUGGGGUCAUGAGUUCGAGACCAGCCUGGCCAAAAUGGUGUAACACUGUCUCUAUUAAAAAUACAAAAAAAAUUAGCCAGGCGUGGUGGCAGGCGCCUGUAAUCCCAGCUACUCAGGAGACUGAGUCAGGAGAAUCGCUUGAACCUGGGAGGUGAAGGUUGCAGUGAGCAGAGAUAGCACCACUGCAUUCCAGCCUGGGCAACAGAGUGAGACUCUGUCUCAAAAAAUUAAAAAAAAAAAAAAAAAAGAAGCCGGGUGCGGUGGCUCACGCCUGUAAUCCCAGCACUUUGGGAGGCCAAGGUGGAUGGAUCACAUGAGGUUGAGAGUUUGAGACCAGCCUGACCAACAUGGAGAAACCCCGCCUCUACUAAAAAUACAAAAUUAGCCAGGUGUGGUGGUGCAUGCCUGUAAUCCCAGCUACUCGGGAGGCUGAGACAGGAGAAUCGCUUGAACCCGGGAGAUGGAGGUUGCGAUGAGCUGAUAGUGUCAUUGCACUCCAGCCCAGGCAACAAGAGCAAAACUCUGUCUCAAAAAAGAAAAUAUUUAUUUUUAGAGACAAGGUCUUGCUCUGUCACCGAGGCUGGAGUGCAGUCAUAGCUCACUGGAGCCUUGAAGUCCUGGGCUCAGGCAGUCCUCCUGCCUCACCUCCCAAGUAUCUGAGACUACAGGCAGGCACCACUAUGUCCAGUUAAUUUUUAAAUUUUUUCAUAGAGAUGGAGUCUCACUAUGUUGCACAGGCUGGUCAGUCUAGACAAUUUUAAAUUAAAUAUGUAACUCACAUUAACAGGUCACAUUAUUUAUUUAUUUAUUUAUUUAUUUAUUGACACAGGGUCUCGCUCUGUUGUCCAAGCUGGAGUACAGUGGCACAAUUUCGGCUCACAGCAACCUCUGCCUCCCGGGUUCAAGCGAUUCCCCUGUCUCCGCCUCCCGAGUAGCUGGGAUUACAGGCGCCCACCACCACGCCCGGCUAAUUUUUGUAUUUUUAGUAGGGACAGGGUUUCACCAUGUUGGCCAGGCUGGUCUUGAACUCCUGGCCUCGUGAUCCACCCGCCUUGGCCUCUCAAAGUGCUGGGAUUACAGGCAUGAGCCACCAUGCCCAACCGCAGACAUCUUUUUGUUUUGUUUUUUUUUCUUUUUUUUUUUCUUUGGAGAUGGUGUCUCGCUCUGUUGCCCAGGAGGGAGUGCAGUGGCAUGAUACCUGCUCACUAUAGCCUCGAACUCCUGGAUUCAAGCGAUCCUCCCACCUCAGCCUCCUGAGUAGCUGGGCCUACAAAUGUGCAACACCACGCCUGGCUAAUUAAAAAGGUGACAGAGAGACCCUGUCUCAAAAAGCAAACAAACAAAAAACGACACAUGUGCGUGUGUGUGUGUGUGUGUGUGUGUCUGUGGAGAGAGAGAGAGAGAAAGAAGGAGAAUAUGAUACAUCAAAUGUAGUAAAAUGAAAACAUUUGGGAAAUAUUUGAAGUAUUUGUAACUUUUCUCUAAGUCUGAAAGUAUUUCAAAAUUAAAAAAAAAUUUAAAAGGUGAAUAGUGCCAGGUGUGUUGGUGCACGCCUGAAAUCCCAGCACUUUGGGAGGCCAAGGCAGGUAGAUCACCUGAGGUCAGGAGUUCGAGACCAGCCUGGCCAACAUGGAGAAACUCCGUGUCUACUAAAAAUACAAAAAUUAGCCAGGCAUGGUGGUGGGCACUUGUAGUCCCAGCUACUCGGGAGGCUGAGGCACGAGAAUUGCUUGAAUCUAGGAGGUGGAGGUUGCAGUGAGCUGAGAUUGCACCACUGCACUCCAGCCUGGGCGACAGAGCAAGACUCUGUCUCAAAAAAAAAAAAAAAAAAAAAUGGUGAAUAGUACCAAGCGGUGGUGGAAGAUAUGGGAUAUAAAACCCUUGGGCACAGCUGGUGUGAGUGGAGACGGGACAGCCUUUCUGUAGAGCACCUGGUACUUAGUCAAAUUAGUCCCCCCAUCCCCUACAACCUACUCUCAAGCCAAAGUCCCAGAGACAUCCUCACACCAGCCCUAGAGGGUGCAAGGAGGUGGCAGCUCACCUUAUCUGUGGUGGGGCAGGUUGGGGGUCACUUGGGUGUCUACCCCAGGGACUGGGCGGCUGAGACUGGGGACUGCUCAUAGAAAGGACCGUGGAUGAGCCACAGCUACAAAACCCUUCACACAAGUGUUCAUGCCACAAAGUAGCCACAUGUGUUUUGCAG
rnacentral:lncRNA from 10 species